rnacentral:piRNA from 1 species
UGACUUGGUGGCUGUACUGCAUCC